GAAGCGGCAGGGGGCGUCUUCCGUCCUUUCCACGCUUCCGACAUGUCUCAUCAGACUGGGAUCAAAGCUAAUGAAGAACUGAAAUCGUUUUUUGGACAUUGUAAGGAUGGAAAAGUCAGAGUAAUAAAAAUUAGUAUUCAAAAUGAGCAAUUGGUACUUACUGAUUUUAAAGCACCAAAAGGAACAUGGGAAGAUGAUUAUGACAGAUACAUGCUGAAUUUCAUAGAAGAUAAACAACCAUGUUAUAUUUUUUAUUGCUUGGAUAGUCAAAAUAAUUUAGGAUAUGAAUGGGUAUUUAUUAGUUGGUCACCUGAUGAUUCUCCGGUAAGAGAAAAAAUGCUUUAUGCUUCUACUAAAGCAACUCUUAAGAAAGAAUUUGGUGGAGGACAAAUUAAAUAUGAAUUAUUUGCAUCAACUAAGGAAGAUAUUAGUUUACAAGGCUAUCAUAGGCAUUUAAGAGAAGCAACUGAUCCUGCUCCAUUGACUUUUGCAGAAGAAGAGUUACAGAUGAUUAAAAAAAAUGAAUCUAGAGUAGAUAUAGCCAUUGAUUCAAGACAUCAAACUCUACAAGGUAUAGUUUUUCCAAUUUCUGAUGAUGCAAUAGCUGCAUUAUUUGAUAUGAAAAAUGGGAUUCUUAACUAUGUGCAAUUGAGUAUAGAUAUUGACAAAGAAGAAAUUAAUUUGGAAUCUUGUGAUGACACUAACAUCAACUCUCUUCCCAGCAGAGUUCCACGUGAUCAUGCUAGAUAUCAUUUAUUUUGUUUUCCACAUUCUUAUGAAGGCGAUUAUUUAUUAAGUAAAGUAUUCAUAUAUUCCACACCUGGAUACGAAUGUUCCGUUAAAGAGAGGAUGUUGUAUUCUAGUUGUAAGAGUCCACUUCUGGAUGUCAUCGAAAAUAAAAUAGGAAUUGAAAUAGCUAAAAAGGUCCAGGCAGAACGGAGGAGAAUACUGUUUAAGUAAUGUCUGCGACUGACUCGAUGAGAAUUAACAAGCUUAAUAUUUGAGGUCAAAAACUUACUGGCAUGUGAUUAUGGCAAAGAGCAGCCGCUAUACAUAAUCUGGAGGCCAUGGAAUUUAGACCCGAGACCGAAAGAGUUCAUUACCAAGUGGACAAAAGGGAAAAAACUUCUCGAGCCCAGAAAUGAGUUAGAAAUCUACAAAAUCCGUUGAACGUUUUUGCUGGUUGAUUAGAUGCUAAAGGGGCCAACAAAGUCUGAAAGAAUGAGAACCCUAUUAAUAGAGGCAGAUCUUCCAACAAAUGUUGGGCAGAAGCAACAAAUACUUUAACUCACAUAAAAAAUUGAACACCUGCAAAAAUGUGUGAUAAAAAGACACCCGAAGAAUCAUUUAGUGGUAGGAGACAUCACAUGCUUAAAAUCUUUGGUUGACAAGUACAACAUUGGAUUCCUAAACAAAAAGAAGAAAAAUUUGAUAAAGUGACCAAACCAGAAAUAUUUGUUGGGUAUUCAAAUGACAGAAAAACAUAUAGAAUUUAUACCCCAAGGGAUUCAAAUAUAGUAGAAACCAGAGAUAUCAUAUUUUUUGAGCAUAUGAAAGAAAACAGUCUCUUAACAUCCAAGAAUGUAGCAAAAGAGGCUGCACAUUAAUACAGUUAAACUUAAUGAUGGCACACAAUAUAAGUGUGAUGAAACUUGAAUUAUCAUAAUAUCAAAGAGGAUUCUGAAGUAGAGUUUAAGAAGCAAUGCAAGGCCAAGAUAUUACUGUAUUUUCGCAGAAUGAUUGGCAUGCCAGUUUAUCCUGGGGGAAUGCAGGUUUAAGUGAGGUUGUACAUCCCUCUAUAGAGGGUGCAUUAAAAAAAAUGAACAUUUUUCUAUUCUAAAACUGAAACUGUCAGCUUUACAUCAGAAACUGCAAUUAGGUGUUUGAUUUCAUUUUGUCUUCUAACAAUGUAAAAUAAUCUUGGAAUUACGAAAGUGCUUUUUUAACGUGUAUUGUUAUUUGAUUCAAAAAUGCAAAAACAAACAUAUUAAAUUUACGAAACUCACCAUAAAUCAUCUCAGCUUACACAAAGCCAAUAUUAAUUGGUGUAAAAUUUGAGAGGAAUGUGUUAUUUUUAAGGUCAAGGUAGGUAGAGUGUGGGCUAUGCCGACCUACUAUUAUUGUCAAUAAGUCAUUAAUUGUUUUAUUGUCUUGUAAACAAAAACUCUCUUCCCGAUUUUAAGUCAGUCAAACUACAUUGUUGUUAUUUUAGAAAAAUUGUCUGUGUGGACUUAUUGGAUUAAUAGGACAAUUAUGAGGGUCGUCCCAGAAGUACCCGACCUGACAUAGAUGGCAGUACUUGUUUGAAAAAAAACGACUGUGUUCGAAAGUAUCAACCUUAUAAAGCUUAAGUUUGAAGUUUGAAGACGUUACGUUGUAUAGUAUUUUUUUGGCAACCAUAAAUAGUGAACAA
rnacentral:misc_RNA from 1 species